rnacentral:rRNA from 1 species
GGGAAAGGUGAAAAGCACCCCGACGAGGGGAGUGAAACAGUACCUGAAACCGAACGCCUACAAUCAGUUGGAGGCCCCUUGAGGGCUGACAGCGUACCUUUUGUAUAAUGGGUCAUCGACUUGGUCUCACGAGCAAGCUUAAGCCGUUAGGUGUAGGCGCAGCGAAAGCGAGUCUUAAUAGGGCGCUUUAGUCAGUAAUGGUAGACGCGAAA